GUGCCAGCAGCCGCGGUAAUACGUAGGUCCCGAGCGUUGUCCGGAUUUAUUGGGCGUAAAGCGAGCGCAGGCGGUUUGAUAAGUCUGAAGUUAAAGGCUGUGGCUCAACCAUAGUUCGCUUUGGAAACUGUCAAACUUGAGUGCAGAAGGGGAGAGUGGAAUUCCAUGUGUAGCGGUGAAAUGCGUAGAUAUAUGGAGGAACACCGGUGGCGAAAGCGGCUCUCUGGUCUGUAACUGACGCUGAGGCUCGAAAGCGUGGGGAGCGA
rnacentral:rRNA from 1 species